AGCAGCCGCGGUAAUUCCAGCUCCAAUAGCGUAUAUUAAAGUUGUUGCAGUUAAAAAGCUCGUAGUUGAAUUUCGGGAUCAGUUGGUCGGUCGUGCCUCGGUACGUACUGGUCAAAUUGAUUCCUACCUUCUGACGAACCACGAUGUCAUUAAUUUGGUGUCGCGGGAAAUCAGGACUGUUACUUUGAAAAAUUGAGUGUUUAAAGCAGGCUCGCGCUUGAAUACAUUAGCAUGGAAUAAUGAAAUAGGACGUUUGAUUCUAUUUGUUGGUUUCUAGGAUCGACGUAUGAUUAAUAGGAUAGUUGGGGCAUUAGUAUUCAAUUGUCA
rnacentral:rRNA from 1 species